AUUAGAGUUUGAUCAUGGCUCAGAUUGGACUCGCUGGCGGGCAGGCUUAACACAUGCAAAGUCGAGCGGGGUGAUGUAGGCUUGCUUACAUCUACCUAGCGGCGGGACGGGUGAGUAAUACUUAGGAAUCUGCCUAUUAGUGGGGGACAUACAUUCCGAAAGAAUGCUAAUGCCGCAUACGCCCUACGGGGGAAAGCAGGGGAUCUUCGCACCUUGCGCUAAUAGAUGAAGCCUAAGUCAGAUUAGCUGGUUGGUGGGGUAAAGGCCUACCAAGGCGUCGUGUCUGUAGGCGGGUCUGAGAGGAUGAAUCCGCCUCGCUGGGACUGAGCACGGCCCAGACUCUACGGCAGCCCGCAGAUGGGGAAUAUUGGUCAAUGGGCGCAAGCCUGAUCCAGCCAUCCCGCGUGUGUGAAGAGGCCUUUUGGUUGCUGCACUUUAAGCGAGGACGA
rnacentral:rRNA from 1 species